GGGCAGAUUGUAUAGUGGAGAAAGAGUUUUUCACUCUCGAGCUUAAGUCGAAUAAAUCUUGAUAUAUGACAGACGAUGGGGUUUGACGAGUUGUCCAUGACCUCCGUCUUGUAGGGAUCCACGAUAGUAGGACUGUAUCACAUGAUAACUGUACCUAGAGGUUCAUCAUUCCAUUCUGCUGGAUAGCCACUACAUGCUGCUAGGUGUCACUGGUGGAUGGUGAGACUCACAGGGAUUAUUUCGAUGAUCGAUAAACCCUAAUGAGUAGAGUUGGAAUCGUUCCGACCCAUUGAAAGGAGUUUUCAAUGAUAUUGUGAUAGAGAUCACAAUAUAUCUCACUACCAGUCAGAAUAGAACCUAUGGGGUCACACACACUAGAAGUAUUGACCGAUCUGAUGGUUGAAAAGUGAUUAUGAAUCACGAGUAAUCAAUUCGAUUGAUAAUAAAUUGAAGAAGGAACAAUGGGAAUUAAUUAAUUGGACUUAAACAUGAAACCUACUUGG
rnacentral:lncRNA from 1 species